GACGAACGCUGGCGGCGUGCCUAAUACAUGCAAGUCGAACGAGAGCGACCGGUGCUUGCACUGGUCAAUCUAGUGGCGAACGGGUGAGUAACACGUGGGUAACCUGCCCAUCAGAGGGGGAUAACAUUCGGAAACGGAUGCUAAAACCGCAUAGGUCUUCGAACCGCAUGGUUUGAAGAGGAAAAGAGGCGCAAGCUUCUGCUGAUGGAUGGACCCGCGGUGCAUUAGCUAGUUGGUGAGGUAACGGCUCACCAAGGCCGUGAUGCAUAGCCGACCUGAGAGGGUGAUCGGCCACAUUGGGACUGAGACACGGCCCAAACUCCUACGGGAGGCAGCAGUAGGGAAUCUUCCGCAAUGGACGCAAGUCUGACGGAGCGACGCCGCGUGAGUGAAGAAGGUCUUCGGAUCGUAAAACUCUGUUGUUAGAGAAGAAUAAGUGCUAGAGUAACUGUUAGCGCCUUGACGGUAUCUAACCAGAAAGCCACGGCUAACUACGUG
rnacentral:rRNA from 1 species